rnacentral:rRNA from 1 species
UACGAAGGGAGCUAGCGUUGUUCGGAAUCACUGGGCGUAAAGCGCACGUAGGCGGAUGUGUCAGUCAGGGGUGAAAUCCCGGAGCUCAACUUCGGAACUGCCCUUGAUACAGCACGUCUUGAGUCCGGAAGAGGCGGGUGGAAUUCCUAGUGUAGAGGUGAAAUUCGUAGAUAUUAGGAAGAACACCGGUGGCGAAGGCGGCCCACUGGUCCGGUACUGACGCUGAGGUGCGAAAGCGUGGGGAGCAAACAGG